CGGGGCGUAGCGCAGUCUGGUAGCGCAUCUGCUUUGGGAGCAGAGGGUCGUGAGUUCGAAUCCCACCGCCCCGACCA
rnacentral:tRNA from 22 species